CUGUAAGCAAGAACGCAUACCACAUCUUUCUGGCAUUGAACUAUAACCUGUAGUGACAACUUCCUUUGUAGACAUUGUAAAGAUAAUUGCAUUCCAGUGAGGGCGUUUCUGAUCUCUUGAUUGAGCUUGUAUCUAGCUAGACAUCACAAUGUUGUUAUAAUAUAGCUACAAUACACCCCUUAAAAAGUGUAUACUGCGCUAUAAUUUGAUAAUUAUGUACUGUAAGUACUGAUCAUCCUCAUUACUCAACACGAAUCUUCCACAAAAUCGCUUUCGGUGGCUAUAUCCCUCUUGAAGCAUGCUGCACGCAUCUGCAGGAUUAGAUUGAAAUUUGGACACUUUAUAUCUUUAACUCGCCAAUGAAUCCCCAUCAAUCAAUGCGCUUACAAUUUACUGGCUCUGAAAUUCGGACACAUCUUAAUUAUCUUUCCUGUAGCAUUUGAAUUUCCAUAAUUAAUCCUCAUAUUCCAUAUUUUCAAUGAUUUCUGAAAUCGUCGAAGAUGUGUGCUUCAAUUUGAUCGAGUUUCCUCCAUACCAAACCAUUGAUGGCUCUUCUCAUGCUUUUCAUGCAGGUUUUUCGGAUAGCUAGUGAUCUUCAACCUGGAUUAGAAGGGCAUAUUUCCCCUGAUCCUGUGGACGCAGAAGGUUAUAUGGUAUUGCUAGUCUACAAAAAUGGGUCUCUAACCCAGGAAGAUGUGCGUACCUAGUAUGCUGAGAAAUCUUGGGAAGUCUUCAAUAAGUUUCUGCAGAAAACACCACCUCUUAAUGGUUUCCACGGGCACUUGAUAAUCUCGUUUUCUAGAUGAUAGUUGUUUUCUGUUUCCUCAUUCCAGUCUCUGCAAUAGAUGGGAAGAUGGGUUUCUACUGCGAUGACCGUGAAACUCUUCCUCCCUCCCUUCCAGGUUCGAGCAUUGAUUUAAGGCCAGUUCCUCUCCAUGCGAGCUCAUGCUGAAAGAUUUGGCAUGCCUUCUCCUCCACAACGAAUUACAGCAACUGGGGGAGCAUCAGCUAAUCAGAGCAUUUUGAACUCGAGAGCUUCAAUAUUUGGCGGUGAUGCUCUGCAUCCCUAAGAGCUGCGUUAAGGGCUGAUCAUGGUUGGCUGUGUAAUGAAAAUGGAAGUUUAGGGCCAUUUGCGAGCCUGUACUGGAGAAUUCGUCCCUCUGCUGCAAGCUUUCAGUUAGUGCAGGGAACCAACAGCUGGUUUCCAGGUAUGCUUUAUUGAUGAAGAAAGAAUGGAAAUAAAGAACCAAGCUUUCGAUGGAGGCAAUAGAAUGGACAGGUCUUGGUUUGCCGUCUCCACAAGAUGUCUUCCAUUGAAAUUGUUGAGACUUCAAACAUUGGGCCUUCCAGUAGUUGGGCGGCUUAAAUACUUCAAAUUUAGUGUAAAACAUUCUCACCCCUUUCAAUUAAAAUUUCUAUUAUGGACA